rnacentral:lncRNA from 1 species
GUAGGAGUAUAUUUGCUAGUCUUUAUAUAAACUUGAUAUGUGGGUCUUCGAUGGUUGUUUUCAGUUGACACUCUAUAGAAAUAGAUAUUCACUAAAAGUCGUAGAAUUCUAUCAGUUAAACCCCUAGUCUAUGAUGAGGAUUUUUUUAUAUUAUUUUUUUGUCGAGUUGACGGUUAAAAUUGAAAGUUGACUACUGUUAGCCCUUAGCUAGUCUAGGAUUAAAUAAUAAUUAUCAAAUACAAAGUUAAGUGCUUUGACCAACUAAGGCCUGGUUUAGUUCACCUCAAAAACUAAAAAAUUUUCAAGAUUCUCUGUCCUAUCGAAUUUUGUGGCAUAUGCAUGAAGCAUUAAAUAUAAAUGAAAACAAAAACUAAUUACACAAUUUAUCUGUAAUUUGUGAGACGAAUCUUAUCUGUACUAUAAUUGAAAUCUUCUCCAGGCAAAUUCCACCUACAAGAUCAACAACUCACAAUACAUGUCCUACAGAUUAGACGGCCCAGAUUAGAAGUAUGAUCACGACCUUACACACCCUCAGCCUCGCGUCAUCUUACCCAUGCCCACGCUCGCGUGGCUCUUAUGAUCGCAACAACCAGGGUUCGAUCCCUACUCGUUCCUCCUCCCUCCGAAAAAAGGAAAAAAAUAUUGACCUCACGUCGUCCACAAGCGGGAGGCACGGGCGGCGCCCCAAUCUCGACGCCGUCGACUCUCUCCCUCCUCCACCUCACCACUGC